CCUACGGGAGACUGCAGUGGGGAAUAUUGCACAAUGGGGGAAACCCUGAUGCAGCGACGCCGCGUGAGUGAAGAAGUAUUUCGGUAUGUAAAGCUCUAUCAGCAGGGAAGAAGAAAGACGGUACCUGACUAAGAAGCCCCGGCUAACUACGCGCCAGCAGCCGCGGUAAUAAGUAGGGGGCAAGCGUUAUCCGGAUUUACUGGGUGUAAGGGGAGCGUAGACGGCUGUGCAAGUCUGAAGUGAAAGCCGAGGGCUCAACCCUGGGACUGCUUUGGAAACUGUGGAGCUAGAGUGCUGGAGAGGGAAGUGGAAUUCCUGGUGUAGCAGUGAAAUGCGUAGAUAUUAGGAGGAACACCAGUGGCGAAGGCGGCUUACUGGACAGUAACUGACGUUGAGGCUCGAAGGCGUGGGGAGCAAACAGGAUUAGAUACCCCAGUAGUC
rnacentral:rRNA from 1 species